rnacentral:rRNA from 1 species
UACGUAGGGGGCAAGCGUUGUCCGGAUUUAUUGGGCGUAAAGGGCGCGCAGGCGGCGCUUCAAGUCCGUUGUGAAAUUUCAGGGCUUAACCCUGACGGGUCAACGGAAACUGAAGGGCUAGAGUGCAGCAGAGGAAAGCGGAAUUCCCGGUGUAGUGGUGAAAUGCGUAGAUAUCGGGAGGAACACCAGAGGCGAAAGCGGCUUCUGGGCUGUAACUGACGCUGAGGCGCGAAGGCUAGGGGAGCAAACAGG